UUUCUACUGCAUGUCUGACGC
rnacentral:misc_RNA from 1 species